UACGUAGGGCGCAAGCGUUGUCCGGAUUUAUUGGGCGUAAAGAGCUCGUAGGCGGCUUGUCGCGUCGUCCGUGAAAACCUGCGGCUCAACUGCAGGCUGGCGGUCGAUACGGGCAGGCUGGAGUUCGGUAGGGGAGACUGGAAUUCCUGGUGUAGCGGUGAAAUGCGCAGAUAUCAGGAGGAACACCAGUGGCGAAGGCGACUACCUGGCCUGUUCUUGACGCUGAGGCGCGAAAGCUAGGGGAGCAAACGGG
rnacentral:rRNA from 1 species